rnacentral:rRNA from 1 species
AUUGAACGCUGGCGGAAUGCUUUACACAUGCAAGUCGAACGGCAGCACGGGGGCAGCCCUGGUGGCGAGUGGCGAACGGGUGAGUAAUACAUCGGAACGUGCCCGGUCGUGGGGGAUAACGUAGCGAAAGUUACGCUAAUACCGCAUACGAUCUGCGGAUGAAAGCGGGGGACCUUCGGGCCUCGCGCGAUCGGAGCGGCCGAUGUCAGAUUAGGUAGUUGGUGGGGUAAAGGCCUACCAAGCCGACGAUCUGUAGCAGGUCUGAGAGGACGACCAGCCACACUGGGACUGAGACACGGCCCAGACUCCUACGGGAGGCAGCAGUGGGGAAUUUUGGACAAUGGGCGCAAGCCUGAUCCAGCCAUUCCGCGUGCAGGACGAAGGCCUUCGGGUUGUAAACUGCUUUUGUACGGAACGAAAAGGCUCUGGCUAAUACCUGGGGCUCAUGACGGUACCGUAAGAAUAAGCACCGGCUAACUACGUG